rnacentral:rRNA from 1 species
GUGCUCAUGACGGAGGAUUCGUCCAACGGAUUGAGUUACCUAGUGGCGGACGGGUGAGUAACGCGUGAGGAACCUACCUUGGAGAGGGGAAUAACACUCCGAAAGGGGUGCCAAUACCGCAUGAAGCAGUUGGGUCGCAUGGCUCUGACUGCCAAAGAUUUAUCGCUCUGAGAUGGCCUCGCGUCCGAUUAGCUAGAUGGUGAGGUAACGGCCCACCAUGGCGACGAUCGGUAGCCGGACUGAGAGGUUGAACGGCCACAUUGGGACUGAGACACGGCCCAGACUCCUACGGGAGGCAGCAGUGGGGAAUAUUGCACAAUGGGGGAAACCCUGAUGCAGCGACGCCGCGUGAAGGAAGACGUAUUUCGGUAUGUAAACUUCUAUCAGCAAGGAAGAUGAUGACGGUACUUGACUAAGAAGCCCCGGCUAACUACGUGCCAGCAGCCGCGGUAAUACGUAGGGGGUAAGCGUUAUCCGGAUUUACUGGGUGUAAAGGGAGCGUAGGCGGCCAUGCAAGUCAGAAGUGAAAGCCCGGGGCUCAACCCCGGGACUGCUUUUGAAACUGUAAGGCUAGAUUGCCGGAGAGGUAAGCGGAAUUCCUAGUGUAGCGGUGAAAUGCGUAGAUAUUAGGAGGAACACCAGUAGCGAAGGCGGCUUACUGGACGAUGACUGACGUUGAGGCUCGAAAGCGUGG